UACGGAAGGCAGCAGUGGGGAAUAUUGCACAAUGGGCGCAAGCCUGAUGCAGCCAUGCCGCGUGUAUGAAGAAGGCCUUCGGGUUGUAAAGUACUUUCAGUCGUGAGGAAGGUGUUAAGGUUAAUAACCUUAGCAAUUGACGUUAGCGACAGAAGAAGCACCGGCUAACUCCGUGCCAGCAGCCGCGGUAAUACGGAGGGUGCGAGCGUUAAUCGGAAUUACUGGGCGUAAAGGGCACGCAGGCGGUUAAUUAAGUUGGAUGUGAAAUCCCCGGGCUUAACCUGGGAAUGGCAUUCAAGACUGGUUAGCUAGAGUCUUGUAGAGGGGGUAGAAUUCCAUGUGUAGCGGUGAAAUGCGUAGAGAUGUGGAGGAAUACCGGUGGCGAAAGGCGGCCCCCUGGACAAAGGACUGACGCUCAUGUGCGAAAGCGUGGGGAGCAAACAGGGAUUAGAUACC
rnacentral:rRNA from 1 species